GACGAACGCUGGCGGCGUGCUUAACACAUGCAAGUCGAACGGAAAGGCCCUGCUUUUGUGGGGUGCUCGAGUGGCGAACGGGUGAGUAACACGUGAGUAACCUGCCCUUGACUUUGGGAUAACUUCAGGAAACUGGGGCUAAUACCGGAUAGGAGCUCCUGCUGCAUGGUGGGGGUUGGAAAGUUUCGGCGGUUGGGGAUGGACUCGCGGCUUAUCAGCUUGUUGGUGGGGUAGUGGCUUACCAAGGCUUUGACGGGUAGCCGGCCUGAGAGGGUGACCGGCCACAUUGGGACUGAGAUACGGCCCAGACUCCUACGGGAGGCAGCAGUGGGGAGUAUUGCACAAUGGGCGGAAGCCUGAUGCAGCAGCGCCGCGUGCGGGAUGACGGCCUUCGGGUUGUGAACCGCUUUCGCCUGUGACGAAGCGGGAGUGACGGUAAUGGGUAAAGAAGCACCGGCUAACUACGUG
rnacentral:rRNA from 1 species